UGUUAAAAAUAUUAUUUAUCUACAUCAUUCUACUAUAUCUUAUGUAUUAUAGCGAAACACUACACGCACACCACGAAAUUAUUUCCAAUUAUCACGACGACGGCGUAAAAUAAAUUGUCGUUCAAAAGUAUAAUAUUACAAUAAUAAUUAUAUAGCUGCUGCGUGAUUAAUAAUUUGUUCAUAUAGGCGAAGUGGAUGGGAUAUAAUUUCUAAAAUCGCGUUAUUUCGUCCCCCGGGGAAUUAAAAAUACUUUUCUAGCUCCGAAUAUCUCAUAGUUUGAAUUCAAUUAGCCGUUUGUUUCAGAACCGUUAAACCAAGUUUUUUAUUAUUAUUUUUUUUAAUGAUAUACGCUAGGGAAAUUAAUAUUCUAAAAACUAAAAAAAAAAAUGCAAUUCCAAAAAUAUUGAAUAUUGUGCUAUGAAAAAAUGUUAAAAUACUAAACGACAGUACCCAAAACCCAAUCGUUUACAAAUAUCGACUCAUUCUGGAAAUUCACUAUACUGUAGAUGAUAAUUUAUUGCGAUUAGCCUUAUCGUAUUUAACCUUACAGAGUGACCUAUUCGUAUACAUCUAGUGUAAAAUAUUUUAAAAGAAGGAUAACAUAAAAUAUAAGAAUGACGUAUUUACAGGCAGUAUGUAGAUUAAACAAUUUAGUACUUCCUGUUCAUAAUACAUUUCCGUGUCUAUAUUAAUAUUCUCAUACAUAAUAUACGUAUUUCUUGCUCAUUAUCAAGUUAAAUUAUUUAAUUUAUAUCUGUAAACAAUGAUAAACCCGCCGUUACCAACAAAAUAUAUGGUUU